UACGGGGGGAGCAAGCGUUGUUCGGAUUUACUGGGCGUAAAGGGCGCGUAGGCGGUCAGCACAAGUCAAUUGUGAAAUCUCCGAGCUUAACUCGGAAAGGUCAACUGAAACUGUGCGACUAGAGUGCGGAAGGGGCAACUGGAAUUCUCGGUGUAGCGGUGAAAUGCGUAGAUAUCGAGAGGAACACCUGCGGCGAAGGCGGGUUGCUGGGCCGACACUGACGCUGAUGCGCGAAAGCCAGGGGAGCGAACGGG
rnacentral:rRNA from 1 species